GACGAACGCUGGCGGCGUGCUUAACACAUGCAAGUCGAACGGAAAGGCCCUGCUUUUGUGGGGUGCUCGAGUGGCGAAAGGGUGAGUAACACGUGAGUAACCUGCCCUUGACUUUGGGAUAACUUCAGGAAACUGGGGCUAAUACCGGAUAGGAGCUCCUGUUGCAUGGUGGGGGUUGGAAAGUUUCGGCGGUUGGGGAUGGACUCGCGGCUUAUCAGCUUGUUGGUGGGGUAGUGGCUUACCAAGGCUUUGACGGGUAGCCGGCCGGAGUGGGUGACCGGCGACAUUGGGACGUAGAUACGGCACAGACACCUACGGUAGGCAGCAGUGGGUAAUAUUGCACAAUGGUCGGAAGCCGGAGGCAGCAACGCCGCGUGCGGGAUGACGGCCUUCUGGUUGUAAACCGCUUUCGCCUGUGACGAAGCGUGAGUGACGGUAAUGGGUAAAGAAGCACCGGCUAACUACGUG
rnacentral:rRNA from 1 species